rnacentral:lncRNA from 1 species
GUGCAAUCAACACCCUUAUAGUGUCAAGACGUGCCACUGGAGCAAAUGUCUCUGUGUAGUCGAUGCCAAAAUGUUGUGAGUAUCCUUUGGCGACUAACCUUACUUUAUGUUUUUGGAUUGAACCAUCAGCAUUGAGCUUUGUCUUGUAGACCCACUUAACUCCUAUGACUUAUUUGUCUUGAGGAAGAUCUACAAGUUCACAAGUAUUGUUUUUCUUGAUCAUUUUUAUUUCUUCAUCCAUAGCAUUUCUCCAGUCUAGUUGUUUUGAAGCUGCUUCAUAGCUUUCAGGUUCAACAAUCUUGAAAUUGCAGCUUUGAUAUAUUUCCGAUAAUCUUCGUAUCUUUCUUGGUGAUGAUUCUGGUAAGUCAACUGGUUUUUCUAUUGUCGCUUGUUGUGGGGACUCUGGUUGAUUGUUCUCCUCAACGUCACCCUUCUGCUUUUCUAGUUGUGUAAGAAUGCUGAUAGCUUUUCUCUCGAUUUGACCAGUCUCCUAUUUAUAGGUGACAUCUUUAUCAAACUUAACAUCUCGACUUAUAAUUAGCUUCUCUGUUCUUAGGUUAUAUACUCGAUAGCCUUUUGAUUGAGUACUACAACCUAAGAAGAUUCAUUUUUUCGUUUUUCAUCUAGUUUACCUCUUUUCUCCUGUGGAAUAUGUGUGUAGCAGAUGCAGCCAAAAACUCUAAGAUGCUUUGCUGAUGGUUUUCGUCUACUCCAUGCUUCCAUUGGCGUUUUGUCUUGCACAGCUUUAGUUGGACAUUGAUUUAGUAGGUAGAAUACAAUGCUUACUGCUUCUGCUCAGAAAGUUUUUGGAAGACUUUUCUCCAUUAGCAUAGCUCUAGCUGUCUCCAUUACUGUUCUAUUCUUUCUUUCUGAUACGCAAUUUUGUUAAUGUGCAUAUCCAACUAUGAGUUGAUGCUCCAUUCCUUCGUCCUCACAAAACUUGUUGAGUUCAUUUGAUAUAUAUUCUUUGCCUCUUUCACUUCUUAUAGUUUUGAUAUUGCAACUACUUUGCUUUUCAACAUAGCUUUUGAACCUUUUGAAAAUCUCAAAUACUUGGGAUUUUUCACGUAAGAAAUAUACCCAUGUCAUUCUAGUGUAAUCAUCAAUGAAGAGAAUGAAGUAUCUGUUUUGCUCAUGUGAUGGAGUACGCAUCGGACCGCAUACAUCUGUAUGUAUUAGCUCUAAUAGCUUUUUAGCUCUCCAAGAUUUUUUGAAUUGAAAUGGUUGGCGGUGUUGUUUCCUGAGCAAACAUUCUUCGCGGAUUGCAUCAAUAUCUUUUAUGACUGGUAAGUCUCUCAUCAUACUUUUUUGAUGCAGGAUCUUUAACCCGUGGAAGUGGAAAUGUCCAAAUCUUUUGUGCCACAGCCAUGAGUCGUCCACUUAUGCCAUCAUUACUGCACUGUUUGCAUAUCUCCACUGGAUUGGAAAGCAUCUGUUCUCUCACUUUUUGACUUUUGCAAUUACAAGAGAUUUAUCUUUCUUGUCAUAGAUCGUGCAAGAAUCUCCUUCAAAAUGUAAUAUAUAUCGUUUCUCCAUCAUUUGGCCUACACCUAAUAGAUUUUGAUCUAUUGUAGGGACUAAGAGAACUUCAUUGAUGUAUCUCAUGCCCUUUUUUUUGUCAACAGCAAUAGUGCCUUGACCUGUUACCUCUUUAAAAUUUUCAUUGUCAAUCUAGAUUUUAUCAAGACUACAGAAAAUACUUUCGUCAUAUGAUUACUACAACUAUUGUCUAGAUAUCAUGUAUCCAGUUUCUCAUCAGAUGCAUCUUUGCUAGUGGCAUAAAAUAAAUUUCCUCAUACAUAUUUUUCUUCAUAGAAGUUAGCUUGAUGAUUUUGUUUAGAACGACAAAAUUUUUCAUCAUGAUCAAUUUUUUUUACAGUGACGACACUGUGGUUUUCCUUUAAACCAACAGCCCUUCUCCGAAUGAUUUUUUCUUUUACAUAUGCCACAUGUAGGAUACUUGCCGCUUUUAUCAAAUUCUUUUCCUUGAGUUUCUUUAUUUUUACAAUUUUCUUUAAAUUUUCUUCCACCUUUUUUAGAUUUCUGAAACCGCAUAUUAACAUUAGAUUGGAAUGAGUUUUAGGGGCUAAUCUCAUAACGCCUUUCUAAUCUUUUUUCAUGUGCUUCUAGUGAAGCCAUUAAUUUUGCAGCUGUCAACUUAUCUAUAUCUUUUGACUCUUUAAUAGCUGCAAUAAUUGGAUCAUAUUUUUCUGUGCAAGUAAUUAAAAUUUUUCCAGCGGCUUUCUUUUGAGGAACAUCAUCUCCAUAAGAUCUUAAUUAAUUUACUAUUUCAUCUAUUCUUGAAUAAUAAUAUUUCACAGUUUCAGAAUCUUUCAUUUUCAGAUUUUCAAAAUUCCUUCUUAAAAUACCUUCUUUUGUCGUUUUGACAUUCUCACUGCCAUGAAACUCCUCCUCCGAUUUAUCCCAAACUUCUUUUGUCGUUUUGACUCCCACAAGCUCAUUUGUAGAGCAAGUAGUGCUAGAGAAUCUUUUUGUUGAUUCUCUUUAAGUUCCUUUUUUUCGCGGUAGAUAGAGUGGAAAUGUCAUCUGGGUUAAUAUACCCAUCAUUGACGACAUCCCAUAAAUUUUGCGCACAAAAGUAGGUCUUCAUUUUGAUGGACCAAAAGUCAUAAUUGCCUCCAUUAAAUGUUGGAAUAGGGAUGGACGAACGGAAAGUGUCUGCCAUAAUAUCUGAUUACGCCCAAUAUCAAUCGAACAUGGCUCUGAUACCAAUGAUGAUUUUUCUUCUAGUGAUGAGAUUAGAUUAGAUGAUUUAAUAAGUUUAGUAUGGGAUAAUUGUGGAGGUAGAAAAUAGUUAGUUUUUUGUUGGAAGUUGUUAGUAUGGAAGAUUUUGAUAGAAAGUAAUUUAGUAGACAAAGUGGGUAGGAGAAAUGAACUUUAUUAGAAUGACAAUGACUUUUUUUGCUUACAUACAAAUGAGAGACUCAUACCCUAUUUAUAGACCAUAGCUUAAAUAUGAUUUCUUCUAGAUAAUUCUACGUGUGCCUACAAACCUCACAAACUUUCUUGGUGUCCAAGUUUCUCUAGGGAAUUCUAGAUAAUUCUGAUUUUUUAUUAUUCUUGCUUGCCAAGCAAUUCUAGGAUCUUCUACAAAAUUCCUAAAUAUGCAUCAACCAUCAAUAAAAUCUAAAACUAAUUCAGCUGCGGUGAAGGCCACAGCUCAAUUCUGGCCUCAGAUGAUGAACAAGCAAUAAUCUUUAGUUUUCGUAAGGACAAUCCCCUAAGUACACAAUAUUAGUAGAUGUUGAGGUUCUGUCAUGUCGAUUGCUUGCCUAAUUGGCAUAAAAAAGGCAUAGAGAUUGCAGGACUAGUUGGAUUUGUUAUUUGUUUGUUUCAAAAGUGUUUUCUUGCAUGCUCUUUUAUCUUGUCUAGUGCGUGUGGCAGGCCUUGGGGUGAUAGAAAACUGUGAAACCUUUCUUACUAGAAUGCGGAAGUGGGUGACGUUUUGUUUGGGGUGGCCAAGAAUUGUAGGCUGGGAAAACUAUGGCAUAGUUGCAUUUUGUGAGAACUCUCAGGUGAAAUGAAUAGGUUUGUACAUGGUCAGGGCUAAGGGACGACCAAGUUCUUGUGUGCAUUGCUGGGAAUCAUGAUUAAUUGGACAAAGUACUGCUGGAGGUGAAAGGGGAAAGGGUCACUAGUCCUACUUAUAUCCAACAACACAAGCGCCACAUGAUAGCUAUUUCAAAUUAGAUAUGGACAUCUCAGGUGUGGAAGGAGCUUCUAUACUAUGAGUUUAGAUUUGCUGUCCACCUAAUGAAUGGCUGACACAUUAUUUUAAAUUAAUAUAUCCAACAUUUUUCUCAUUACUACUUGUGCUUAAAAUUAGGUGACAUUUUAAUAUAAAAUGAUGUGUUAAUCAUUCAUUCGUGGAUAACAAAAUUCAGAUAAUUGAUCUCAACUCCAUACCACGGGUGCUGUCAUUGGGGACAAGUUUGAGGGUGGUUGGGGCGAUUGCAAGCAAAGAAAGUUAUUGGACACACAUAGCUGAAGAUGCUAAAGCAUAGAAAGUUUGGGAUUGCUAUGAUUUUGGCCAGGAAACGUGGCUAUCAAAUUGCUGCUAUGGAAUGUGACUUGUAAGGGUAGUGCAUAGAAACAAAAUUUAUGUAAAUCUUUUUAUUCACUCUAGCAAUCAUGAUAUUUUUUUCCUAGGUUUGUAAUCUUUGUGACUGUACAAAGCAUGUCUCAAACAUUAAAUGUUUUUAAGUCGUAUAGUUUUUACAACUCUCAUA